rnacentral:rRNA from 1 species
GGGCACCACCAGGGGGAGGAGCUGCGGCUCAUUUGACUCAUCACGGGAAAUCUCACCAGGCCCGGACACCGGAAGGAUUGACAGAUUAACAGCUCUUUCUUGAUUCGGUGGGUGGUGGUGCAUGGCCGUUCUUAUUUGGUGGAGCGAUUUGUCUGGUUAAUUCCGGUAACGAACGAAACUCUAGCCUGCUAAAUAGGCGUCGCCAUUUAGGUGUGCUCGGCUUCGGUCGGGCAACUCACUGGCGACGUAUUAAAAUUCUUCUUAGAGGGACCGGCGGCUUCGAGCCGCACGAGAUUGAGCAAUAACAGGUCUGUGAUGCCCUUAGAUGUCCUGGGCCGCACGCGCGCUACAUCGAAGGAAUCA